UACGUAGGGGGCAAGCGUUGUCCGGAUUUAUUGGGCGUAAAGAGCGUGUAGGCGGCCAGGUAGGUCAGCUGUGAAAACUCGAGGCUCAACCUCGAGACGCCGGUUGAAACCAUCUGGCUAGAGUCCGGAAGAGGAGAGUGGAAUUCCUGGUGUAGCGGUGAAAUGCGCAGAUAUCAGGAAGAACACCCGUGGCUAAGGCGGCUCUCUAGUACGGUACUGGCGCUGAGACGCGAAAGCGUGGGGAGCGAACAGG
rnacentral:rRNA from 1 species